GACGAACGCUGGCGGCGUGCCUAAUACAUGCAAGUAGAACGCUGAAGGAGGAGCUUGCUUCUCCGGAUGAGUUGCGAACGGGUGAGUAACGCGUAGGUAACCUGCCUGGUAGCGGGGGAUAACUAUUGGAAACGAUAGCUAAUACCGCAUAACAGUAGAUAUUGCAUGAUAUCUGCUUGAAAGGUGCAAUUGCAUCACUACCAGAUGGACCUGCGUUGUAUUAGCUAGUUGGUGGGGUAACGGCUCACCAAGGCGACGAUACAUAGCCGACCUGAGAGGGUGAUCGGCCACACUGGGACUGAGACACGGCCCAGACUCCUACGGGAGGCAGCAGUAGGGAAUCUUCGGCAAUGGACGGAAGUCUGACCGAGCAACGCCGCGUGAGUGAAGAAGGUUUUCGGAUCGUAAAGCUCUGUUGUAAGAGAAGAACGAGUGUGAGAGUGGAAAGUUCACACUGUGACGGUAUCUUACCAGAAAGGGACGGCUAACUACGUGCCAGCAGCCGCGGUAAUACGUAGGUCCCGAGCGUUGUCCGGAUUUAUUGGGCGUAAAGCGAGCGCAGGCGGUUAGAUAAGUCUGAAGUUAAAGGCUGUGGCUUAACCAUAGUACGCUUUGGAAACUGUUUAACUUGAGUGCAAGAGGGGAGAGUGGAAUUCCAUGUGUAGCGGUGAAAUGCGUAGAUAUAUGGAGGAACACCGGUGGCGAAAGCGGCUCUCUGGCUUGUAGCUGACGCUGAGGCUCGAAAGCGUGGGGAGCAAACAGG
rnacentral:rRNA from 1 species